GUCUGUUUUUCUUUUUAGCAAUGGCGUUUAUUUUCGAUUUAUGAGUUUUUCUGUUCCUCUGGUAUCUUUCGCCCCUCUUUUAUCAAAACGCAUACCAAAUGCAAUGCGUAGGUAAAGGUAACCUGUUUGCUAAGUUUGCUGGCUGACUGAAUAGUCAAUUCAUUAAUAGGCUAGGUAAACUUCCUUCCUUGAGAAGUAGUCGUAUCUUACAUACAG
rnacentral:lncRNA from 1 species